GGAUGUGGCCGCACCUGAGCGCGAGUGCCCAAUAGCAUCCGGUCUCCGAAACUAAGCAGGGCUGUGCCUGGUUAGUACUUGGAUGGGAGACCAACUUGGAAGACCAGAGGCCACUAUCCU
rnacentral:rRNA from 12 species